rnacentral:sRNA from 1 species
GAAGGACAGAACGUUUACACCAGCUGUCUACGGCUGCCUCUGUGUUCUGGAGACCCCAUGCACCCCUCGUCCCUUCUGGGUUGGGCCUGGCAGUCCCGUAGGCUGUCUUUCCCUUGCUUUGCAGAUGCCAGCCCCAGAGUCCCACCUCCACCGUUGUAAGUCUUUGAAAUCCUGUGUUUAUUCUACAUUGACGGGACAUCUCAUUUUGGACUAACCACAUUUCAAGUCCUCAGUAUUCACAUAUGGAUACUGUGCAGGACAGCACACACUAAUUGGUCCAUGGGCGCAGGUCCCUGAACCCACAGCUUCGCGGGGGUCUGGCCGAGCAUGCGUCACAACCUACGCGGCCAAGAGCAGUGCGCACGCGCAACCUAACGCGGGACUGCCAGCAACUUCCGGGCGUUUACAGGCAGGCAGGUCAGUGAUGUGUCCUAAGGGUCCGACCGACCUAGAUACCCCUCU